rnacentral:rRNA from 1 species
CCCUUAGAUGUUCUGGGCCGCACGCGCGCUACAAUGAUGAAUUCAACGAGUUUAUAACCUUGGUUGAAAAGCCUGGGUAAUCUUUUGAACUUUCGUCGUGAUGGGGCUAGACCCUUGCAAUUAUUGGUCUCCAACGAGGAAUUCCUAGUAAACGCAAGUCAUCAGCUUGCAUUGAUUACGUCCCUGCCCUUUGUACACACCGCCCGUCGCACCUACCGAUUGAAUGGUCCGGUGAAAUCUUCGGAUUGAGACUUUGAUUUCUUCACGGAAAACGCUGUUUUAAAAAGUUGAUUAAACCUUACCAUUUAGAGGAAGGUGAAGUCGUAACG